rnacentral:rRNA from 1 species
CCAGACUCCUACGGGAGGCAGCAGUGAGGAAUAUUGGUCAAUGGGCGGAAGCCUGAACCAGCCAAGUCGCGUGAGGGAAUAAGGCCCUACGGGUCGUAAACCUCUUUUGCCGGGGAGCAAGGGCCGGGACGAGUCCCGGUCCGGAGAGUACCCGGAGAAAAAGCAUCGGCUAACUCCGUGCCAGCAGCCGCGGUAAUACGGAGGAUGCGAGCGUUAUCCGGAUUUAUUGGGUUUAAAGGGUGCGCAGGCGGAGGAUAAAGUAGGGGGUAAAAUUGGGGGGCCCAACCUCUCCGAGCCGUUGAAACUGGUUUUCUUGAGUGAGCGAGAAGUAUGCGGAAUGCGUGGUGUAGCGGUGAAAUGCAUAGAUAUCGCGCAGAACUCCGAUUGCGAAGGCAGCAUGCCGGCUCCACACUGACGCUGAGGCACGAAAGCGUGGGUAUCGAACAGGAUUAGAUACCCCGGUA